rnacentral:lncRNA from 1 species
UCCAGAUGCAUAUAAACCCUCCAAAAUAUUGUUAAAAUAAAAAACCUAAUGAGUUUAUAUGCAUCUGAAUAUCCUACUGCUAUGUUGAUAGUUAUAUUAAUUGGUACAUGAUUUUCUUACAUACAAUUUAAUUAUGCAAUACUUAGUUUAAUUAGAUCCCAUUUGUCAAUUUUGGCUUUUGUUGCCAUUGCUUUUGGUGUUUUAGACAUGAAGUCCUUGCCCAAAAUGUUUUUCAAAAUGGAAGUCAAGAUAAAGGCUUCUUAACACAGCCAGGCUCAGAGUCUCACGCCUGUAAUUCCAGCAGUUUGGGAGGCCACGGCAGGU